AACUUGAGAGUUUGAUCCUGGCUCAGAACGAACGCUGGCGGCAGGCUUAACACAUGCAAGUCGAGCGCCCCGCAAGGGGAGCGGCAGACGGGUGAGUAACGCGUGGGAAUCUACCCAUCUCUACGGAACAACUCCGGGAAACUGGAGCUAAUACCGUAUACGUCCUUCGGGAGAAAGAUUUAUCGGAGAUGGAUGAGC
rnacentral:rRNA from 1 species